rnacentral:rRNA from 1 species
AUACGGAGGGUGCGAGCGUUAAUCGGAAUUACUGGGCGUAAAGCGUACGUAGGCGGUUGGUUAAGUUAGAUGUGAAAGCCCCGGGCUUAACCUGGGAACUGCAUUUAAAACUGACGAACUAGAGUUGAGUAGAGGGGAGUGGAAUUUCAGGUGUAGCGGUGAAAUGCGUAGAGAUCUGAAGGAACACCAGUGGCGAAGGCGACUCCCUGGACUCGAACUGACGCUGAGGUACGAAAGCGUGGGUAGCAAACGGGAUUAGAAACCCUAGUAGUCC